AUAUGCCUGGCUCCCUGUAUGCCACUCGCGUAGCUGCCAACAACUCAGUUUGAGCUCCCCCGGCCCAAACGCAAACGUUGGCUCUACCGCGGAUGGCGUGCGAGGAGCCAAGCAUGA
rnacentral:pre_miRNA from 1 species